UACAGAGGGUGCGAGCGUUAAUCGGAAUUACUGGGCGUAAAGCGCGCGUAGGCGGCUUUGCAAGUCGGGUGUGAAAUCCCCAGGCUUAACCUGGGAACUGCAUCGAGACUGCAUUGCUAGAGUAUGGGAGAGGGAAGUGGAAUUUCCGGUGUAGCGGUGAAAUGCGUAGAUAUCGGAAGGAACAUCAGUGGCGAAAGCGACUUCCUGGACCAAUACUGACGCUCAGGUGCGAAAGCGUGGGGAUCAAACAGG
rnacentral:rRNA from 1 species